GACAUGGGAAGCUUGCUUCCUAUGAAAUCGAGUGGCAAACGGGUGAGUAACGCGUAAACAACCUGCCCUUCGGAUGGGGAUAACAGCCGGAAACGGCUGCUAAUACCGAAUACGAUCUUUCCGUCGCAUGACGGAAAGAAGAAAGGAUGGCCUCUAUACAAAGCUAUCGCCGAAGGAGGGGUUUGCGUCUGAUUAGCUGGUUGGAGGGGUAACGGCCCAACAAGGCGAUGAUCAGUAGCCGGUCUGAGAGGAUGAACGGCCACAUUGGGACUGAGACACGGCCCAGACUCCUACGGGAGGCAGCAGUGGGGAAUCUUCCGCAAUGGACGAAAGUCUGACGGAGCAACGCCGCGUGAGUGAAGAAGGUCUUCGGAUUGUAAAGCUCUGUUAUACGGGACGAAAAAGACGGAUGCCAACAGUAUCCGUCCGUGACGGUACC
rnacentral:rRNA from 1 species